rnacentral:rRNA from 1 species
GCUGGCAGUGCGUCUUAAGCAUGCAAGUCAAACGGGAUGUAGCAAUACAUCUAGUGGCGAACGGGUGAGUAACGCGUGGAUGAUCUACCUACGAGAUGGGGAUAACUAUUAGAAAUAGUAGCUAAUACCGAAUAAAGUCAAUUAAUUUGUUGAUUGAUGAAAGGAAGCCUUUAAAGCUUCGCUUGUAGAUGAGUCUGCGUCUUAUUAGUUAGUUGGUAGGGUAAAUGCCUACCAAGGCGAUGAUAAGUAACCGGCCUGAGAGGGUGAACGGUCACACUGGAACUGAGAUACGGUCCAGACUCCUACGGGAGGCAGCAGCUAAGAAUCUUCCGCAAUGGGCGAAAGCCUGACGGAGCGACACUGCGUGAAUGAAGAAGGUCGAAAGAUUGUAAAAUUCUUUUAUAAAUGAGGAAUAAGCUUUGUAGGAAAUGACGAAGUGAUGACGUUAAUUUAUGAAUAAGCCCCGGCUAAUUACGUGCCAGCAGCCGCGGUAAUACGUAAGGGGCGAGCGUUGUUCGGGAUUAUUGGGCGUAUAGGGUGAGUAGGCGGAUAUAUAAGUCUAUGCAUAAAAUACCACAGCUCAACUGUGGAACUAUGUUAGAAACUAUAUGUCUAGAGUCUGAUAGAGGAAGUUAGAAUUUCUGGUGUAAGGGUGGAAUCUGUUGAUAUCAGAAAGAAUACCGGAGGCGAAGGCGAACUUCUGGGUCAAGACUGACGCUGAGUCACGAAAGCGUAGGGAGCAAACAGGAUUAGAUACCCUGGUAGUCUACG